UUAUUUUUUUUUUUUUUUUUU
rnacentral:snRNA from 1 species